rnacentral:rRNA from 1 species
AGUCGAGCGAACAGACGAGGAGCUUGCUCCUCUGACGUUAGCGGCGGACGGGUGAGUAACACGUGGAUAACCUACCUAUAAGACUGGGAUAACUUCGGGAAACCGGAGCUAAUACCGGAUAAUAUAUUGAACCGCAUGGUUCAAUAGUGAAAGACGGUUUUGCUGUCACUUAUAGAUGGAUCCGCGUCGCAUUAGCUAGUUGGUAAGGUAACGGCUUACCAAGGCAACGAUGCGUAGCCGACCUGAGAGGGUGAUCGGCCACACUGGAACUGAGACACGGUCCAGACUCCUACGGGAGGCAGCAGUAGGGAAUCUUCCGCAAUGGGCGAAAGCCUGACGGAGCAACGCCGCGUGAGUGAUGAAGGUCUUCGGAUCGUAAAACUCUGUUAUUAGGGAAGAACAAAUGUGUAAGUAACUAUGCACGCCUUGACGGUACCUAAUCAGAAAGCCACGGCUAACUACGUGCCAGCAGCCGCGGUAAUACGUAGGUGGCAAGCGUUAUCCGGAAUUAUUGGGCGUAAAGCGCGCGUAGGCGGUUUUUUAAGUCUGAUGUGAAAGCCCACGGCUCAACCGUGGAGGGUCAUUGGAAACUGAAAAACUUGAGUGCAGAAGAGGAAAGUGGAAUUCCAUGUGUAGCGGUGAAAUGCGCAGAGAUAUGGAGGAACACCAGUGGCGAAGGCGACUUUCUGGUCUGUAACUGACGCUGAUGUGCGAAAG